CAACAAUGCGCACAUCGAAAGCCUGAUUACGACUUGGUUAUCGAGGAACAGAGUGUUGUUCUGAGAAAGCUAAGAUUGUGAUCAGGCGGCGGCCAGACAACCGUAGUGAUGGUAUCCACAGAUGGCGGGUCCUGUAAUCCCGCUUUUUUUCUACUGAUUCCAUCUCACAUUU